GCUUAUCUCAUCUCCCAGCUCGUGUCACACGAAAUAAAAACCCUUUCCUGGCCAUAAGCCUGUCAUUCCAGUUUUUAUUUGGCCCCUCUUGUGUGGUGGGUAAAGAACCUAUGUCUGUAGGUGGUAACAACUUGGGGAGUCAGCCAGGAAGCUCUUGCCCGUGGCUCCGCGGCCCUGGGCUGACUGGGAUUUCCUGGGAAGCAGUCCAGCAGCCGCCUAGGUGAUUUGCCCUAGGGACUGCCCCAGUACUUGCCAUCUGGCCUGGCACUGCUGACCCUAGGCAUAUUUUCUUAUGGCAAGGAAACAGGUUCUAGAUUUGUUUGUUUGUUUGUUCUUUGUUCUGGUGAGCCGACGGACUCUGAAAUACAAAACACUUCUUAUUAAAUACCUGGUUACUUACCUACGUGAUACAGGCCUAACUUUGGAAGCCCACCUGCAUCACUGCCUUACUAAAAGACUCGUUCAACAAGAUGGAACAACCUACACCCUGAUUCAGUAGGAAGUAGUUAGAUAGGUCAUCAUCCCAAAUCCCUCAAGACUGAGAAAUGAACAUAAAAUAGGGGGUAAUUGAUACUGGCCCUGAUAUCAGUUCCCCUUCAUUAAACCCAGCAUAGACGGAGUUAAAACCAAAACAUUCUUGCCCAGCUUACUCCCUGGCUCCCUGGCUCCAGAAUCCACUAUCAGCCAUAGAGACAGAUGGCCAAGAACAGCCACCUGGAUUCCUAAUCAUCUUCUCCUCCUCCCUGCAAGCAGCAUCCCAAGGCUGAACACAGACUGGUGGGAAAGCUCUGACCAGCAAGGCCAUUGACUCCCCCACCUCUCCACAUUCUUCACAAACCUUUAAAACCCCUCACCUCCUCUCUUUCCGGGAAAUGAGAGGAAACAAGACAAAUUUGAGGGCUCACUCUCAUCUCCUGGCUGAUGUCACUCUAAAUAAAAACACUUUCCUUGCCAUAAGCCUGAUCUUCCAGCUUUUAUUUGGCCCCUCUUGUGUGGUGGGUAAAGAACCUAUGUUUGUAGGCGGUAACAAUCCCUACAUUUCAU
rnacentral:lncRNA from 1 species